AGGAGAGUUUGAUCCUGGCUCAGGACGAACGCUGGCGGCGUGCCUAACACAUGCAAGUCGAGCGGGGACAUGCGACGGAAUUGAAGUUUUCGGAUGGAGAUGAAGAUGUAUGUUCUAGCGGCGGACGGGUGAGUAACGCGUGAGCAACCUGUCCCUUACAGGGGGAUAACACAGCGAAAGUUGUACUAAUACCGCAUAAGACCACGGUGGGACAUCCCACAGGGGUCAAAGGAGCAAUCCGGUGAGGGGUGGGCUCGCGUCCGAUUAGAUAGUUGGUGAGGUAACGGCCCACCAAGUCGACGAUCGGUAGCCGACCUGAGAGGGUGAUCGGCCACAUUGGGACUGAGACACGGCCCAAACUCCUACGGGAGGCAGCAGUGGGGAAUAUUGGGCAAUGGGGGAAACCCUGACCCAGCAACGCCGCGUGAGGGAAGAAGGUUUUCGGAUCGUAAACCUCUGUCCUUGGUGAAGAGUAAGAGACGGUAGCCAAGGAGGAAGCCCCGGCUAACUACGUGCCAGCAGCCGCGGUAAUACGUAGGGGGCGAGCGUUGUCCGGAAUGAUUGGGCGUAAAGGGCGCGUAGGCGGCCCGGUAAGUCUGAAGUGAAAGUCCUGGUUUUAAGCUGGGAAUUGCUUUGGAUACUGUCGGGCUUGAGUGCAGGAGAGGUAAGUGGAAUUCCCAGUGUAGCGGUGAAAUGCGUAGAGAUUGGGAGGAACACCAGUGGCGAAGGCGACUUACUGGACUGUAACUGACGCUGAGGCGCGAAAGUGUGGGGAGCAAACAGGAUUAGAUACCCUGGUAGUCCCCU
rnacentral:rRNA from 1 species